rnacentral:rRNA from 1 species
CUACCCUUGACAUCCUGCGAAUCUGGCUUCGCAGCUGGGGUGCCGAAAGGAACGCAGAGACAGGUGCUGCAUGGCUGUCGUCAGCUCGUGUUGUGAGAUGUUGGGUUAAGUCCCGUAACGAGCGCAACCCUUGAAUUCAGUUGCCAUCGGGUAAUGCCGGGCACUCUGGAGAAACUGCCGGUGACAAGCCGGAGGAAGGCGGGGAUGACGUCAAGUCCUCAUGGCCCUUACGGGCUGGGGUACACACGUGCUACAAUGGCGGUGACAGCGGGCGGCGAAGGCGCGAGCCUGAGCCAAUCCCGAAAAGCCGUCUCAGUUCGGAUUGCACUCUGCAACUCGAGUGCAUGAAGUUGGAAUCGCUAGUAAUCGCGGAUCAGCAUGCCGCGGUGAAUACGUUCCC